GGUGUUUUUCUUUUUCUUUCCUUCCUCUGUCUCUUCCCCGCGCCGCUCGAUCCCCUUUUCAUUUCGAACACGUAACCCAGAAGGCAACUGAGAGAGAUAUCCAUGGCGAUUUGGAGCCCUCCCUCGCCGCUCGUUGGUUGGUGGUGACUCGUCGGUGCUCUCCCUCCUGCUGCCUCGCUCCCUCGUCCCUCCGCCUCGUCGUUGUUUCUCCAGCCGAAGGCCUGCAUCAUCUCUCCGCCCCGCAUCCACCUUGGCACCAUUAUUUCGCCGCUCGUCGGUUUUGUUCGAUUCGAGUCGCCUGAAGCUGAUGACCGAGGAGAUGGUGCAGCACACAACAGUCAAUGUGAUGGUUUACAGAGAGGUGUAGCCUUGAGUGUGCUAUGGUAGGCUGACUGGUGUACCCACGCAACAGGGUGUGUGUGCUCUGUAUUUGUUAGCAUGUCAUGCCGUGUGUGAGAGGUAUGUGUGAGUCUAGUCUGAACUUUUCCUCCUGUUCUCUGUACCUAUCCCAACUUUCCUCUACAUCCUCUCAUGUACUCUAUCUCUCACACCCCCAAAUCCCUCCUGUAAUUCGUGAGAUCUAUCGAUCUAUGAGAUGGGCACUGUGGUUAAUUGUUUGAA